GCCAACCUAAGGCCAUCGCCUGCCUCCAUCACCCCUUCGCCUGCCUGCCUACCACCCAAUCCCAAAUGGGUGCUGGAUCAGGUGCCGAAUCUGGCUGCCUCCUCGGGUCCUCCUUCUCAUCACUUCUUAGGCAUGGAGAGAUGAAGGACAGAUGGAGUACCGCACAAGGAUACAAUGGAGGAAGCAGGCCAUGACUAAGACCCCAAGGAUGAAGAAUGGAGAGCCCUGACCGUCCUCCUGGCCUCCAGUCAUUUCCCCACUGAAGAUGGCCGUACCCUCUAGCCUGGGAGGACCAUGGCCCAACAAUGGCAGUGGGAGAGAAGAUGACUCUGUGGAGGACACUCUCCGUUAUCUGUGAUGACAUACACCAGCCCCCGAACAAUUUAACCUCAAGCUGCCCUCUGCAAGACUUCGGUAGCACUGGACUUCCCUCAUUCCUGGUAGGCAGAGGUUGUUAGCCAUCAGCCUGGAAGAUCUGAAGGAAAAUUUGGCUUUGGGUAAAGUCAAAGGGGAUGGCUCUCAGAGAUAAGGCCAGUUCAUGAGAAGUAAGCAGGGCUUUGCUACCUGUGCAGGGCAGAGCUGCCCUGGGCUGGGGGGAGUUCUGAUGUCAACAUCUCUGGAGGCAGAUGACAACUUCAGAAGAGGCAAAAUUUCCCCAGGAGAAAAGAAAACAGGAG
rnacentral:lncRNA from 1 species